rnacentral:rRNA from 1 species
UACGAAGGGGGCUAGCGUUGUUCGGAAUCACUGGGCUUAAAGGGCGCGUAGGCGGCUGUUCAAGUCCGGGGUGAAAUCCUCCAGCUCAACUGGAGAAGUGCCUUGGAUACUGGAUUGCUCGAGGGAGGUAGGGGUCGAGGGAACUUCUGGUGGAGCGGUGAAAUGCGUUGAUAUCAGAAGGAACGCCGGUGGCGAAAGCGCUCGACUGGACCGCUUCUGACGCUGAGGCGCGAAAGCUAGGGGAGCAAACGGG